rnacentral:misc_RNA from 1 species
AAGUCGUAACAAGGUUUCCGUAGGUGAACCUGCGGAAGGAUCAUUAUCAAAAGUCAAGUCGGGGGCUGUAAAGCUCUCGUCUACACCCAUGUCUUUUGCGUACUCUUGUUUCCUCGGUGGCGCAAGCUGCCGAUUGGACAAACCAAAACCUUUUUUGUAAUUGCAAUCAGCGUCUGAAAAUAAUCUAAUUAUUUACAACUUUCAACAACGGAUCUCUUGGUUCUG